UCAUUUUACUUUUAUAUUUUUUAUGUUUUCACUUUAUUUUAAUUUAUUUUUAAUCUUUUUUAUAACUAGUUUCUGAAUAUUCCAUUUUGUAUGUUUGUAGAGGGAUAUAGAGAACUGAAGUUAUGAUCUUGUAGGAGUCAUUCUGCUCUUGUAGUUUGAGUGUCAAAUGACACAUGAUGGUUAGAGGAGUGAAAACUAUGAAUUCAUAUUGUUAGAAAUGCUCUUUUUUUUUAAAAAAAAUAGCUUGUUUGUUGCGACACUGUGCUUAAAUCAUCCUUUCUUGGGAUUGCUGCCAUGUGCUAAUGUAUUAUUGAAUGCUAUUUUUACUGGGGAUAUUUUGUGGAAGAUGAAAGCCAUUUUUCUCUACCAUAUUAUGAUUUCAUCAUUAUGUCACAUAUUGUUAGAUUGUUCUUGCAGGGAUGUUUGAUAAUUAAAAAAAUGUGCCAAUAUAACACUAUUCACUGGAUGGUAUGAUUACUGAACUUUUGGUCAUUUAUUAAUCCAGUCGCUCAAAGAGAUUAUGAAUUAUGCCACUUGGACUCUUGGUAUAUAGGAUUCACAUUACGCAAUUUCUUUGAAAAUAAUAUCCUCUUCUUGCUUGAGCUAUGUUUCUCAAGUCUUUGUAUCAAUCUUAAGGAGUAGAAUGUGUGGAAGAAUGAGUAAGGGAGAACCUUGCUAAGCAAUUGGAGAUUAUGUUCAAAAUAAUGACUCUGAUGGGAUCAUUCAUGAAGCUAAUCUGUUAUGUCUAUUACUUAAUCAAGUAAGUGUACUCAGCGAGCUGCCAGACUUGGCCCUUCUGUCAGAUUCUUGUGUGGGCAUAGAAAGAAACAUGAUCUGCCAAUAAACUGUGAAUAAAUGAUUUAAUGCAUUUUCUUCUGUCGAAAUUGUCAUUCAUACAGACUAGUGCUUGAGACAAAUCACUAGGAUACAUUUUGGUCUUCUAGCAAGACAGAAUGUGAAACAUAUACUUAAUAGAGGCAGUCAUGUGCAAUUAUAAGUUCAACCAAGCAUGAUGUGGAGAGAUAGGCUUUUACCAAGCAAAGCGAUGUAGUAGUAGAGGAGGAGAUAUGUCAACAACAAUAUCUGCAAGUCUUAUGAAUGUUAUCUUUGAGGGAUAACCAUUUUUCUGCAGUUCUGUCUUGUGCCUUGAGAUGCUGUUGAAGUUGUUGAAAGGUUUUCCCUUUCUCUUAAGUUCUAGAAAAAUUUGGCGCUUGUGUUGUGAUUGCACUUCACAUUUUUUGGCUGGUGAGUUCCUUUCAACUUGUAGGAGCUGCUUUCCUUUUUGUAUUUUUUGUGGGAAACUUUGGUUGCUCAUGACAAUGAAUUUUUGCAGUCCGUAAGUUCUAGCAGAGAACUAUCAAUGUUAACGCUUCACUUUUUUUGGCUGGUGGGUUCCUUUCAACUUGUGGGAUCAACCUUCCCUUUUUGUAUUUUUUGGGGGAAACUUUGGUUGCUGAUGACAAUGAAUUUUUGCAAUCUGUAAGUUCUAGCAGAGAACUAUCAAUGUUAAUACAUGUAUGCAAACUCUGAUCUAGCUAUUACCAUUGAAUUAUUAAACUUGUGCUUUCAUGAGUGUUUGCUAA